rnacentral:tRNA from 1 species
CGGGGAGUGGCUCAGCCUGGUAGAGCACUUGGUUCGGGACCAAGGGGUCGCAGGUUCAAAUCCUGUCUCCCCGACCAUUA